GUUCUUGCAUCACUCAGUCAGCUCUGGAGAUCCUAGCUACAACAAAGAGCCUCAUAGUUUAUACCUUCUAAGGCUUCUGUCAUUCUCAUUAUCUCAUUUUAGACCUGUGAGUUGGGGAGAGCUUAUUAUUCAUAAUUCGUAAGAUGAAACUGAAGACCAGAGUGGGGGAAAUAAUUUGUCAUGCAGCUGGUGAGUGCCACAGCCCACUUCUGCCUUCCAGGAAAUUCCAAGGAAUGAGAUACAGCUGUCAAUGAAUUUUCUUCUGGAAGUAAAUCUUUGCCCUUGAGCUCAAGGUUUGGUUCUUCCAACAAAUUUGGGGAAAGCUUGGAAAGCAAG
rnacentral:lncRNA from 1 species